UUUACUAGAGUUGCGACACCUUAAGGGUUUCGCGGGAUGGAAUGAGUGGGAACUAAAAAAAUGUGGGUUCGAAAAUAUUGGGUAAGAAAAUGCGGGAACACACAUUUUUGGUACUAAACAAAUGUGGGUACGAAAACUUUGGUUACGAAAAAAAAUGUGGGUACGAAAAUUGUGGGUACAAUGGGUCAAUGUUAAGGUUUUAGCAUGGCGGACGCCAGAAGGCGAAAAGACAUGACACAUACGAUGAGCUGGCUAUGAGAAUACCUCAGGUAUUCUCCGAAAACAGCCGAGCUCAUAUGCAUAAGUCAGUGAGUAAUACUCAUUAAAAGCUAGGCACGGCGUAUAAAAUCAGAACCACUGGGCCGAAUCUGCUGAAACUUGGCCGCAUUAUAGAUUAUGGUCCAAACAAGCUACAGAAUGUGCGCUUUUGGACCUGACAGCGUAAAACAUUAACCAAUAAUGAACAGCACAAAAUGGGUCAUUUUGAACAAAAAAAUGUAAACUUUAAGUGGCAUUUAAUGACUUUUAGACAUCAGAAAGUUUCAAAUUUUUGAUAUUCUGCACACUUCGACUUGUUUUUUUUUUUUAAUUUAGAAACAGUUAUGCUUGGGAUGUCUAUAAACCCUGUUAUUGAAUGUCAAAUUUGGCAAAAAAUUACAAUACAAUCCCAAAAAUGGUUAAGCAGCAAUUCCCCUUUAACAUUAUUCCUUAUAUUUAAUUGAAUUCUUUAAAUAGAUAACUGUGUAUAUUUAAUCAUAAUGGGCUCUGUAUAUCACACAUGAUAGGCCACUGCUGGGGCUUGAACCCAGAACUCAUCUCACAUUGUAAGAUGCGUUUUUCAAUUAAACUACAAUGACUGUAUCGUGUGAAGUGGAGCCAACAUACACCCACAUAAGUGAAAAAAUCAUUCCGUCCAUAUAUUUGUCGUGGGUGUUUUCUGACACAUGUUGCAUAACUGUUUGCAACAAAAGAUGUAUACAUAGAUACAUAAAUGGGGGAAAAAAACGUCUUUUUUAAUUUUUGUUUCACAUAUAAACAUUUCCUAGCAAUGAUUAAUAAUUAUAUCAUGUUGAAAUCAUUUAUAGACCAAAUAUUACUGAAACUGCAAAAAAGUAUAAGAUGGAUAGAUAUAAUGUAUCAUUCUAUCUAGUACAAUGAACAAAUGUUCUUCCGAUGCCAUUUUCACUAAGGUAUUGGUAUUGAAUCCUGAUGUACUACUAAAAAUGUAUGUCGGUUAGCAAUAAUAAUUCAACAAAUCCUCAUAUUCAAGCUGGGUCAUCACUAAGUGGAAUUAUUUGUGGACAUAUAACAGAAAAAUGCAUUUCAUGCCUCUAUAUUGCUUUAACAGGAAUCCCAGCUUUUUGUAUGAACAAAAUUCCCUGAUUUUUCCCUGAUGGAAAAUAAAACUUCCAGGAUCAUGAUUUUGACCUAUUUCUUGUUUUAGACACCCUGAAUAAAUAGCAGUUGCAGACAUAACUAAGCUACACGUAUACUACAAAGUCACGAUAGAUAUGCAGAGGAAAUGAUUUGCUGUUUAAAUUGUAUGGACUUCUCGACACAAGUCGGGAAAGUCUGACCAAACAAAAUUCCCUGAUUUUUCCCUGAUUUCACAAACUUUCCAAAUUCCCUGACUGGAAAAAAAGAGUCUUUUUCCAGUUUUCCCUGAUUUCCAGGUUGGCUGGGAACCAUGUUUAACUUUGAUAAAAUGUUCUUUAGAUGCCAUGUGUAUUAAUUUAUAUGUCUUUUUUUCUGAGAUAUUAAUGAAAAUGCCUGUGGGUAUGUGGCGAAUACUAGUAUUAAAAAAAUCUGCAACUUGAUAUAUGGUGUUAACACGGUAAAAUUGUAUGAGCCCAAAUUAUAAUAGAUGAAUGCGUAUUAUGCUUCUAUGCUUAUACUAUGAGGACAUGUUCAUACAAUGCCAUUUUUAUUAAUAUAGAUGCCAAAUUUAAUGAAACAGACUUGAAAAUGUGUGUUGCCAGAUACCAAGUAAGAAAAAAAUCAGCAUUUUUAUGUAGGGCUUUCACACAGUAAAAUUGUUUGUGCCCAAAUAAUCAUAGAUGAAUGCAUAUUAGGCUUCAAUGUUGCUUAUACUUUGACUACUGGUUCAUACGAUGCCAUUUUUAUAAAUAUCUAUGCCAAAUUUAAUGAAAUAGACUUGAAAAUGUGUGUCGCCAGGUACCAAGUAAGAACAAAAUCAGCAUUUUUAUGUAGGGUCUUCAUACGGUAAAAUUAUUUGUGCCCAAAUAAUAAUAGAUGAAUGUAUAUUAGGCUUCAAUGUUGCUUAUAUACUAUGACGACAUGUUCAUACGAUGCCAUUUUUGUUAAUAUAUAUGCCAAAUGUAAUGAAAUAGACUUGAAAAUGUGUGUCGCAAGAUACCACGUAAGAAAAAAAUCCGCAUUUUUAUGUAGGGUCUUCACACUGUAAAACAGUUUUAUACGUGGACAUAGCAUUUUCAUGGAGCCCGUAAAGAAAGGGAGUUAAUUGUGUAAUUUGUGCUGAUCAGAAACUUAUAACAGUCGUCUCCCUUGAAAUAUUUGCACUUUAUGAGACACCACAAACCAUGGCGUCUCAUCAGGAUCCAAACUGUAUUCUAAAUCGUCACACUAAGCCCUCAUAAGUUAUUCAUUGUAUAUGCACUAUAUAAAACAACCAUAUAAUAUAUCUAAUAUAUCCAGACACACGUAUUAUACCCAAAUAUUAGAAAUACACAAUUUUAUAACAGUAAAAAACAAUGGUAUUUCACAAACAAUUGCAGUCGUUAAUAAAUGCAGAAAAGCAUCAUCUACACGUUUCAUACGGUAUUCAGUUUAUAUGCAAACGCAUUUAAAUAUAUUUACCUCGAUACUCGACCAAGCUGUUGAAAAAUUAUAUUAAUUAGAACGAGAACAAGUAAGAUUAAUGUGUUGUUUUCACAUUUCUUUAAAUGGCUGCCAAUACCGCAUGUAAUAAAACAAUCGAAGCGCAUGCGCAUAAUAUAUGUUACACUCCACUAAACUAGUUGCAGCAAAGACAUUCACAGGCGUUCAUGUCACUUAUAUUCAUGAUAUUUCCAUAUGCGAGUGUGAUUGUAAACACAAGUUUCUGAAAACAGUGCGAAAAGGGGCAUUACGCAAAGCCAAUAAAUCUGCGCAGAUUUUUGUCAAUAUUGACAAUAAACUGCAUGUUUUCUUACCGUUAGUAAUCCGACAGUCCGUUGGUCACAUUGUGCAUUAGUCCGUUUAAGUUAUUAUUGCCUUACACUUUUCAAUAUAAAUUUAUGAACUUUAAACAAAAUAAGUAACUAACUAAGUAACUAUUUAACUGACUAACACGCGCGUUUUUUUUCCCAAUAUCCGAGACAUUUUACUUUCGCACCUUGCCCUCAAUGUCUGGCUUUUAAAGUUUACCGCCUUUUUGCGAAUACAAUGACGUUUACAUAUGAAUUGCCCAAUGAAAAUUUCGGCGGGAUGACGUCAGGCGCCAAAACUGGCGCGUGGUUUUUCCCGGUAUAGACCCAGUGUGUCAACGCUGUAAAUGCAUUGUGGGAAACGGACUAUUUCCAGCAUGGCGCCCGUAAAGAUUAUGAACACGGAAGUAAAAAUAGUAAUAAAUUAUUAUCAAAAACAGGCCUCAUCAAACCGGGUCAGCCAUGAUAUAUUCUUGGAUGCAGUUUGUGCUUCAAAAGGAGCUACUUUUCAUGCCAGCCUAUCGAUACUAUGUGGGAACUGGGAUUCGGGAUGCUCUCCCACUGGUAUCAUAUGCAGAUCAGUGGUCACAAGAACGUACACAACAUCAUUAAUGUCAGCAAUAUAUAUCUCCAACUUCAAACACACAGCUUGCAAAAUCGCUGAAUAUUGCACAAAAGCAGCUUCGUUACAAACUUCCAGCAACUCGAAAUCCACAAGCAGUCUCGUUCCCCACCCACUUUGACUUCGUAGCGAAGGCAUGUUUUUUUUGGGAAACCGUUAACAUCUCACAACUAAACGUAUACUACGGAGAUUGACAAGUUGAAAAAUAAAUUACUGUAAUCACUUCCAAUUUGCGCACUAAGUUAAACUCCAGUUCCAGUUUGUCUUUAUUGUUGAAAUGUUACUCUACACAUUCGCUUUGAAAAUAGAGGUUGGCGUGUUGUUGGAAGUACAUGUACAUGUCGAAUGUGUUAUUGUAAAAACUAUUGGUAUUGUGUUUUUAGUGCAGACAUUGUAUUUAAGUUUCGAUUUCUAGCAUAAAUUUAUAUAUUUUGUUAAAUAAUUUGCGUUUGAAUGUGAUUGUUUGUUGCUUACUUGCGAACUAUUUUUUAUGUGUAAAUAUGCAUAGACGCUAGUGGAUAUGUAAUCAGGUUACCAUAUUUACAACAAUAAAAUUUAACGGCUGUU